rnacentral:rRNA from 1 species
AGAGUUUGAUCAUGGCUCAGAAUGAACGCUGGCGGCGCGCCUAAUACAUGCAAGUCGAGCGAGAAGACGUAGCAAUACGUUUGUAAAGCGGCGAACGGGUGAGGAAUACAUGGGUAACCUACCCUCGAGUGGGGAAUAACUAGCCGAAAGGUUAGCUAAUACCGCGUACGCUCCUUGGACUUCGGUUCAGGGAGGAAAGCGAUACCGUGGGUAUCGCGCUCUUGGUUGGGCUCAUGUCCUAUCAGCUUGUUGGUGAGGUAACGGCUCACCAAGGCUUCGACGGGUAGCUGGUCUGAGAGGACGAUCAGCCACACUGGCACUGCGACACGGGCCAGACUCCUACGGGAGGCAGCAGUAAGGAAUAUUGCGCAAUGGGCGAAAGCCUGACGCAGCGACGCCGCGUGGGGGAUGAAGGUCUUCGGAUUGUAAACCCCUUUCGGGAGGGAAGAUGGAACGAGCAAUCGUUCGGACGGUACCUCCAGAAGC